rnacentral:rRNA from 1 species
ACCGAGUUUACAACUCCCAAACCCCUGUGAACAUACCUAUCGUUGCCUCGGCGGUGCCUGUUCCGACAGCCCGCCAGAGGACCCCAAACCCCAAGAAAAAAACGUUAUAUCUUCUGAGUAACCGAUUAAAUAAAUCAAAACUUUCAACAACGGAUCUCUUGGCUCUGGCAUCGAUGAAGAACGCAGCGAAAUGCGAUAAGUAAUGUGAAUUGCAGAAUUCAGUGAAUCAUCGAAUCUUUGAACGCACAUUGCGCCCGCUAGUAUUCUGGCGGGCAUGCCUGUCCGAGCGUCAUUUCAACCCUCAAGCCCCCGGGCUUGGCGUUGGGGAUCAGUGAGCCUUCGCGCCCACUGUCCCCUAAAUAUAGUGGCGGUCUCGCUGUAGCUUCCUCUGCGUAGUAGCACACCUCGCACUGGGAAACAGCGCGGCCACGCCGUAAAACCCCCAACUUCUGAACGUUUGACUUCGGAUCAAGUAGGAAUACCC